rnacentral:lncRNA from 1 species
AGAUUAAUUGUCCGUUUCCAUUUGAGUUUGACACCAUUGUCCUACGGCAUCCUAUUUUGCCCUUGAAGAUUCUGAUGUUUGGGAUACCCCUCCUUACAUGAAACAAAGGGAAGGCCAUGGAGCAUGGUGGAUAGAGAGCUGACCUUGGGACCAGGAAAGUGCUGCAGAAGCAGGAUCUGAGAAGCUAUUCUCCAGGUUUUGCCACUCCCUGAGCUGGGACAAGAAAUCAGCAGAUAUGUGCCUGGGGUGAAGGACCGUCAAUUCAUCUGUGGAGGGGUGGCUGUGUCACCCCUGGAAUGCUUCAAGACUGCAAUGAGAAAGGCAGCAAGACCUCUCCUGCAUUGACAAAUGAUGACAAGGUGGACAAUGGAGGAACAUAGAACCUGUACUCUGGGGACUCUGGCAUUCCAGAGGAAAACUUUCC